rnacentral:lncRNA from 1 species
AUGACUCUAGAAGAGACCCUUGCAAAGCAGGGCGGGAUCACUAGUGUGAUCUCAGCUCACUGCAACCUCUGCCUCCUGGGUUCAAGAAGUUCUCAUCAUGUCUCAGCCUCCCCAAGGAGCUGGAAUUAUAGUCUCCCCUCCUGCCACUGUUCCUGCAGAUUUCAGCUCCAUGGGAGCAGGAAUCUUGUUUCCUCAUUGAACAUUAUGUUCUCAGCUCCUGGAAAAGUGCCCGUCACAGGGCAGAAGCUUUGAAAAGGCUUCAAGGCCAUCUUCAGGCAGGAUGUAAAGAGUAAGCUGCAAGCC